CAGCCGCCGCGGUAAUACGUAGGGCGCAAGCGUUGUCCGGAAUUAUUGGGCGUAAAGAGCUCGUAGGCGGUCUGUCGCGUCUGGUGUGAAAUCCCGAGGCUCAACCUCGGGCUUGCAUCGGGUACGGGCAGACUAGAGUGCGGUAGGGGAGACUGGAAUUCCUGGUGUAGCGGUGGAAUGCGCAGAUAUCAGGAGGAACACCAACGGCGAAAGCACUCUGCUGGGCCGACACUGACACUGAGAGACGAAAGCUAGGGGAGCAAAUGGGAUUAGAUACCCCGGUAGUCCCUGUCUCUUAUAC
rnacentral:rRNA from 1 species